ACUUAAAUUGAAGAGUUUGAUCAUGGCUCAGAUUGAACGCUGGCGGCAGGCCUAACACAUGCAAGUCGAGCGGUAGCACAGAGAGCUUGCUCUCGGGUGACGAGCGGCGGACGGGUGAGUAAUGUCUGGGAAACUGCCUGAUGGAGGGGGAUAACUACUGGAAACGGUAGCUAAUACCGCAUAACGUCGCAAGACCAAAGUGGGGGACCUUCGGGCCUCAUGCCAUCAGAUGUGCCCAGAUGGGAUUAGCUGGUAGGUGGGGUAACGGCUCACCUAGGCGACGAUCCCUAGCUGGUCUGAGAGGAUGACCAGCCACACUGGAACUGAGACACGGUCCAGACUCCUACGGGAGGCAGCAGUGGGGAAUAUUGCACAAUGGGCGCAAGCCUGAUGCAGCCAUGCCGCGUGUGUGAAGAAGGCUUUCGGGUUGUAAAGCACUUUCAGCGGGGAGGAAGGCGAUAAGGUUAAUAACCUUGUCGAUUGACGUUACCCGCAGAAGAAGCACCGGCUAACUCCGUGCCAGCAGCCGCGGUAAUACGGAGGGUGCAAGCGUUAAUCGGAAUUACUGGGCGUAAAGCGCACGCAGGCGGUCUGUCAAGUCGGAUGUGAAAUCCCCGGGCUCAACCUGGGAACUGCAUUCGAAACUGGCAGGCUAGAGUCUUGUAGAGGGGGGUAGAAUUCCAGGUGUAGCGGUGAAAUGCGUAGAGAUCUGGAGGAAUACCGGUGGCGAAGGCGGCCCCCUGGACAAAGACUGACGCUCAGGUGCGAAAGCGUGGGGAGCAAACAGGAUUAGAUACCCUGGUAGUCCACGCUGUAAACGAUGUCGAUUUGGAGGUUGUGCCCUUGAGGCGUGGCUUCCGGAGCUAACGCGUUAAAUCGACCGCCUGGGGAGUACGGCCGCAAGGUUAAAACUCAAAUGAAUUGACGGGGGCCCGCACAAGCGGUGGAGCAUGUGGUUUAAUUCGAUGCAACGCGAAGAACCUUACCUGGUCUUGACAUCCACAGAACUUUCCAGAGAUGGAUUGGUGCCUUCGGGAACUGUGAGACAGGUGCUGCAUGGCUGUCGUCAGCUCGUGUUGUGAAAUGUUGGGUUAAGUCCCGCAACGAGCGCAACCCUUAUCCUUUGUUGCCAGCGGUUAGGCCGGGAACUCAAAGGAGACUGCCAGUGAUAAACUGGAGGAAGGUGGGGAUGACGUCAAGUCAUCAUGGCCCUUACGACCAGGGCUACACACGUGCUACAAUGGCAUAUACAAAGAGAAGCGACCUCGCGAGAGCAAGCGGACCUCAUAAAGUAUGUCGUAGUCCGGAUUGGAGUCUGCAACUCGACUCCAUGAAGUCGGAAUCGCUAGUAAUCGUAGAUCAGAAUGCUACGGUGAAUACGUUCCCGGGCCUUGUACACACCGCCCGUCACACCAUGGGAGUGGGUUGCAAAAGAAGUAGGUAGCUUAACCUUCGGGAGGGCGCUUACCACUUUGUGAUUCAUGACUGGGGUGAAGUCGUAACAAGGUAACCGUAGGGGAACCUGCGGUUGGAUCACCUCCUUACCUUAAAGAA
rnacentral:rRNA from 1 species